rnacentral:rRNA from 1 species
UGGGGAAUUUUGGACAAUGGGCGAAAGCCUGAUGCAGCGACGCCGCGUGAGGGAUGACGGCCUUCGGGUUGUAAACCUCUUUCACCAGGGACGAAGCGCAAGUGACGGUACCUGGAGAAGAAGCACCGGCCAACUACGUGCCAGCAGCCGCGGUAAUACGUAGGGUGCGAGCGUUGUCCGGAAUUACUGGGCGUAAAGAGCUCGUAGGUGGUUUGUCGCGUUGUUCGUGAAAACUCACAACUCAAUUGUGGGCGUGCGGGCGAUACGGGCAGGCUAGAGUACUGCAGGGGAGACUGGAAUUCCUGGUGUAGCGGUGGAAUGCGCAGAUAUCAGGAGGAACACCGGUGGCGAAGGCGGGUCUCUGGGCAGUAACUGACGCUGAGGAGCGAAAGCGUGGGGAGCGAACAGGAUUAGAUACCCUGGUAGUCCACGCCGUAAACGGUGGGUACUAGGUGUGGGUUCCUUCCUUGGGAUCCGUGCCGUAGCUAACGCAUUAAGUACCCCGCCUGGGGAGUACGGCCGCAAGGCUAAAACUCAAAUGAAUUGAC